CCUCCAGACGCAACGCGAGGGGUUCCCCCGGGAGCACCUCCUUCGGCGCCGGGGUUUCAGAGCUUGGGCCAAUAUUCCAGCGUCCUAAAUGUGUCCGGGAAACUGCCAGAAGCGGCGGAGCCGACAGCACGGUGCCGACGAGGACCACAGGCAGCUGAAGAAAUGGAAGUUCUGAGAAACUAAGGGGCUUCCCUGAUGCUUGCAGAUGAGGCAAGGACGGAUGGAGAAUCAGGCUUUGGACGCCACAGUGAUACCCCACGUGCACCUCUCCUGGGUGACCGUGGACUUCAGUAACGCCCAGCGCUGCCCAGACGGAGCACCGCUGACCACGGAGACACCAACACACGAUCAUCGAAACUUGGUUCUACCGUGGCUCGCUCUGCCCACGUUCUGGAGAGAGGCUGUCUUGUGGGACUCAGAGAUGACAGAGGGACAUUGAGGCCAAGUUCUGAGAGUGGCCCGUUCCAAGGAAUGGGACGUGGAACUAUCGUCCACCCAGCCCUGAAACUCUGGCCAUAGAAAGUGCUUAUGAUCCGUGCAGCUGGCAGCGGUGGCCUGGGGACUCGUGACCAUGUCCAUAUGCAGGCUCGAGGAAGGAAGGGCACCGAAGAGCCGGGGUGGUCAGCUGUGACUUGAACGAGGAAAGGAAAGUGAGCCGAAUCCCUGUGGCAUCCUCCAGAGAAGGUCUGACAAACAAGCAGGGACUAACCGUGAAAGAGCUCAGGGGGCUUCCCCGCGUCCACCGCCAGAAACCUCGAUCUCGGAUCUCCUCUUCCUCCCAUCCUCACGACAUGAUCCUGCCCAGAUCGCACACCGAAAACUCCCACCCCUUCCUCUCCCCCAGACAAGUGCUGUGGUUUCAGACACAGCUCCCCCCUCCCUUUUGGAGAAGUCAUUCCUUCUAAACUGUCGUCUGCCCGGAACUUUCUUCUCUGACCUCCUGGUUUGGAGAGCAAAACCCAGUUGUGUAGGAGUGUAUGGUCUCUGCCAUUGGAUCUUCACCUUUACUUGGUUUUUGCUUCUUGUGUUCUUUCUUUUGCUCUUAAUGCACGAAUCCUGCAGAGCAUUGAAUACAAAAUAGACACCCAGUAGAUCCUUUUGAAUUAAUUGUACUCUGGGGGAAGAAGCAUGAAGGAAGAACGAAAAGCAGAGGGAGGAAGAAGGUGUGAGUAGAGCAGGGGCUCCAGAACACAGGGGAAGGCAGCAGAGUACAGGAGAGGGAGGAGGCCCAGAGAAUCAGCACGCCCUGUGAAGACUUAAUCACAGUGGAUGCUCACGUGCUGUCGAUCUGCUAACAUGGAAGUUGACAGGAAAUUGGCAGCGGCAGGGAGAUGGCCACAGACAAACCUACACUCUUUUGUUCAGUCCUCCCACUGCCUUGUCUUAUUAGCUGCUCCCUCACGGUCUCAAAGUCUGGGAAACUUGGGCUCGUUCCUCAUGCAAAUACUGAUUUAUCAACAGAUUAGCUUAUAUGCAGUUAGAAGGUAAUUACCUGUGCACACCUAAACGGACGAGCCUUCCUUUAUUACCUCUUUUUCUUUGAAUGAAUAAAA